CCUACGGGAGGCACCAGUGGGGAAUAUUGCACAAUGGGCGCAAGCCUGAUGCAGCCAUGCCGCGUGUAUGAAGAAGGCCUUCGGGUUGUAAAGUAUUUUCAGCGGGGAGGAAGGUGUUGUGGUUAAUAACCACAGCAAUUGACGUUACCCGCAGAAGAGGCACCGGCUAACUCCGUGCCAGCAGCCGCGGUAAUACGGAGGGUGCAAGCGUUAAUCGGAAUUACUGGGUGUAAAGCGCACGCAGGCGGUCUGUCAAGUCGGAUGUGAAAUCCCCGGGCUCAACCUGGGAACUGCAUUCGAAACUGGCAGGCUAGAGUCUUGUAGAGGGGGGUAGAAUUCCAGGUGUAGCGGUGAAAUGCGCAGAGAUCUGGAGGAAUACCGGUGGCGAAGGCGGCCCCCUGGACAAAGACUGACGCUCAGGUGCGAAAGCGUGGGGAGCAAACAGGAUUAGAUACCCGGGUAGUC
rnacentral:rRNA from 1 species